AUUGAACGCUGGCGGCAGGCCUAACACAUGCAAGUCGAGCGGAUGAAGGGAGCUUGCUCCCGGAUUCAGCGGCGGACGGGUGAGUAAUGCCUAGGAAUCUGCCUGGUAGUGGGGGAUAACGUCCGGAAACGGGCGCUAAUACCGCAUACGUCCUGAGGGAGAAAGUGGGGGAUCUUCGGACCUCACGCUAUCAGAUGAGCCUAGGUCGGAUUAGCUAGUUGGUGGGGUAAAGGCCUACCAAGGCGACGAUCCGUAACUGGUCUGAGAGGAUGAUCAGUCACACUGGAACUGAGACACGGUCCAGACUCCUACGGGAGGCAGCAGUGGGGAAUAUUGGACAAUGGGCGAAAGCCUGAUCCAGCCAUGCCGCGUGCGUGAAGAAGGUCUUCGGAUUGUAAAGCACUUUAAGUUGGGAGGAAGGGCAGUAAGUUAAUACCUUGCUGUUUUGACGUUACCAACAGAAUAAGCACCGGCUAACUUCGUG
rnacentral:rRNA from 1 species